UGAUGAACACCAACGCAUCCUGAAUUUCGAAAAGUCCAUUGAUCAAUAAUUUAUUGCAGUUUGUUUUUUGUAUUGUCUAAGAAAAUGUAAAUGUAAUUGUUUGCAACAUUCUUUAAGUCUAUAAAAGACCCUUCAGGCGUUGAUUCUGUUUUUUUUGCUGGACAACUUAAACAUGUAAGAACGUUUUUAACAAUUUAAUUCUAUAACCUAAUUAAUUUUUCUAUUGCGAAUAAACGCAACACAUUUUAAUAUCAAACUUAAGCAACAUUGGAUUUGUCUCAUUUUGGUCGUCGCCUUUGUUUUGUAUUACUGCCGUUUGGUGUUAGAUGAUUUGUUCGGGUUGUCAGCCUAAAGCAAAAGAAGCGAGCCUUUAGUAUCAGUAGCCGACAUUAUUUUUAUUCGAUGUUUGAUGAGCCAUUUGCAUCAAACAUUGUUAUUCAUCAUUUCUCAUAUGUUACGCAAGACAAAAGAGCUGCAGAUACAUUUUGUGAAAUUUGCUGUGAAGCCGUUUUGUGUUAUAUUUUUACAUGCCUAUGCCCAUUUGAUGUCACAAGAAAGGCAACAGAGAAUUAAGCGAUCGACACAAGGAAAACCACCCGCCCAUUUCGACGCAUAUCGAACAGAAGUGAGUCUCCAACAUUCGCCGCCCUACACACCAACAUACCCUUCUUCAAAUGGUGCCCGCUCAUUACCGAACGUAAAUAUCCCAACAAGUCAGCAGCCUGUUGCCAAGCCAACGACGUCAGCUGCAGACGAAGCAGCCGAGUUUUGAAAAGAACUGCAGCAAAUGCAGAAACAAAUGCAAGCAUUUAUUCAAAGUCAGCUGCUGGAAAUGAAAAAAGAAAUGGUAAAAACUUUGUCAUCGCAGCAGCCAAACUCGUCCGUCCAAAGCCCUCAGCCACAAACACCACAACAACAAGCAUUUGGAACGCCAUUGGAGCCUCCAAUAAUGUCACAACAAGCCAUUAGGCCGCCAGCACCGCAAAUACCACCGACGUUGCCCAAUAUGCCACCGUCAAUUAUUCAAUACAAUACAUGCCAGGACAACCAAAUAGGUUGCCAGAAGAAUGGCCAACAUUUUACGAGUCUUUUGACAGCACCACAAAUGAGUUUAGGUACUGCAACUUGCACAAUGUUAUGAGGUUAAGAGACGCGUUAAAAGGCAAAGCCCGAGAAUCGUUGAACCAUUAUGAUUUGAAUGCCAAUAUGAUUUGAAUGCCUUAAUUAAUUUCGCCAUUAAAGCAUCAAAUAUGGCAACAUUUUUAAAAAACGCGGGAGGAGAACGUCAUUUACAUAACCCAUCUUUGCUGAGUGAACUAGUAGCGAAAUUACCAAUAAACAGACAAAUGGAGUGGGUGAAAAAUGUCUUUAUUUAAAUGAAUCGCCUUCUAUUUUAGAUUUCAGUGCUUGGUUGCAAACAUUACGACGAGUUGCUAACAUCGUCCACGAUACCCUCCCAUACGCAUCAUACGUGUCCACUAAUCGUCAUCAAGCCACACAGCCAAGCCGCAAUAUUGCAUGUACCGCAGUAAACAAUUGUGUUAUGUGCUACGGGGUCUGUACGUCAAUUGCAAAAUGUAAACAAUUCUUAACAAUGUAUAUUGAUGAAAAGUAGAAAGUAAAAGAAUUAAAAUUGUGUUUCUGUUGCCUUAAAAAAGGCCAUCAAUUGAAUCAAUGUCGAAAUAAGGUGCGUUGCAGUAAAAAUAAAUGUCAAAAGUUCCACAAUGUGUUACUGCACUAUGAAGUUGGUUCAAAUGAUGAAAAUGAAGACGCAAGUGGAUCAGUUCAACAGCAACCUGAACAAAGAAAUUGCCAUGUCGCAAGUAUCGCUGAUGACGGUGCAAAUGUAACCAUUCUAGACAGCGCAAUUGCCAAAGAUCUGGAACUAAAUGGAAACAAGACACAAUUAUCCCUACAGUGGUUAAAUGAGCAUUCAGUGGCGGAGGAUUUUGAAGUAGUGGAUGUAAUAAUAAGUGUUCCACUGGAGGUGCCCCGCUCGUUGACUGCCGCUGGACCGAUUUUAACCACAACAAGAUUGGGCGUAAUUGUUUAUGGCCCAACACCCGAAGAAAAAGUUGUAACCAGAAAUUGCGCUCUUCAUAUAAAAAUGCGUGCCCCUUCAGGAGACAGUACAGGAAAUUGCAUGCAGCAAAUGAACUGGAUGAUGCAAAACUAUUUUGAUAUGGAAACGCUUGGUGUAAAUGUAACCACAACAAAACUAUUGACAUCCGACGAUGAAAGAGCUAUGGAAUUGCUAAAAACUACACAAGAAAGAUGUUCCAGAUCCGAAAUUAUUUUGAUACCGAAACAUUGGGCGUCAAAAUCGCUACAAAACCGUUGAUGUCAGACGAGGAUAGACGAGCGUUGGAUACAUUGGAAUGUGAAACGAAGCAAAUUGAUGGUCGUUAUAAAUGUGCUUUGUUGUGGAAGAAAGACGUUCCCUCACUACCCGAUUCUUAGAGUAUGGCGCUUAAUCGAUUAUACAUCGUUGAACGAAAAAUGCAACAAAACGAUGAAUAUGCAAAGGAGUAUAAAUCCAAAAUUGAAGACUACGUACAAAAAGGUUAUUGCCGGAAGCUUAUGGCAAAUGAGAUUGAUGAAGUCAACAAUCAUGUAUUUUACAUUCCACACUUUGGCGUAAGAAAUCCCAACAAAAUGGGAUUACGCCUAGUAUUUGAUGCAGCUGCCAAAUUUAAUGGAAUGUCUUUUGUCUGGUUAGGACAUAAAUAAUCCACUAAUCGCUGUUCGUUUUGAAUUUAGAGAAGAUCCAAUUGUAGUUUGCGCCGAUAUUCAGGAAAUGUUCCACCAAAUUGCUGUCAAAAAACCGACCAAAAUUGCCAAAGAUUUUUGUGGGGAGAUGGUAACGUGAACAAGCCUGUGGAUAUUUACUUUAUGGAGCGAUUGAUAUUUGGUGCCACCUGUUCCCCCACAAUAGCCCAAUUUGUGAAAAAUUUAAAUGCCAAAACCUGUAUAGGUGAAUCACCAAGAGCUGUGCAUGGGAUCAUUGACCGACACUACGUCGAUGAUUAUGUUGAUUGUUUUGAUGCAGAAGAUGAAGCAACAAAUUCUUUAAACAAUGUUGUUUAAAUUCAUAAAUUAGCCGGAGUUAAUUUACACGGGAUAAAAUCCAAUUCCCAGCAUGUUUUGAAGCAGUAUGGCAAUCCCACUGAGGAUGAUGAAACAAAAGGCAAUACCUUUAUUAAUGGCGGAGUGGAACGAGUACUCGGAAUUCGAUGGGCGCCAAAAACAUACGUUUUCUGUUUUGACUUAAAGGUAAACAAAGUGGACGGAGAAAUAUUGAAAUGUGAAGAAGUGCCAAUUUACACGGGAUAAAAUCCAAUUCCCAGCAUGUUUUGAAGCAGUAUGGCAAUCCCACUGAGGAUGAUGAAACAAAAGGCAAUACCUUUAUUAAUGGCGGAGUGGAACGAGUACUCGGAAUUCGAUGGGCGCCAAAAACAUACGUUUUCUGUUUUGACUUAAAGGUAAACAAAGUGGACGGAGAAAUAUUGAAAUGUGAAGAAGUGCCAACCAAACGUGAGAUGUUGUGUUCAAAUAUGUCCAUUUAUGACCCGUUUGGUUUCAUUUGCGAUUUUAUGGUGACCACAAAGAUAAUAUUGCAGUGUGUGUGGAAGAGUGGCAUUAAGUGGGAUAACAAGUUGCCGGCAGAAAUAUAUUGUCGGUGGAAAAUGUGGCUUGAACAACUGCCAAACAUUGUGAAAUUUAAUGUGCCAUGAUAUUAUAGCCCAAAUUUUAAUACUAAUGUGGUGAGUUGCAUAUAUUUACGGAUGCCAGUGAAGAUGCUAUGGCUGAAGUUGGAUAUUGGCGUGUAGUAAGUGACGACAUAAAAGUGGUGUUUGUUAUGGGUAAGACGAGUUGUGCCCCAAGCCGCUGUUAUGGGAAUGCGGUUAAAGGAAUCUAUUGUGAAAAAUCAUUUAAAAAACAAUAAUGCUAUUUAUUUUUGGACAGAUUCCUCAACCGUAGAACGGUGGAUAAGAUCUGACCAUCGAAUGUACAAGGAGUUUGUGGCAAAUAGUGUAGCAGAAAUUCUGUAUCGCAGUGAAAUUAAUUAGUGGAAAUGGUGUCCCGGUGCAGACAAUGCAGCAGAUGAUCGGACCGGCAUGAAGCUGUCAAGGCCGUAUAAUCCUGAAGGAAGGUGAAAGAAUGGACCUGAUUUUUUAAAGAGAGGUAUGGUGUAUUGACCCGUGUAGACCUUAAGAGGUAGUUCGAUUAACCGAAGCGAAACCGAGCUGCAUUCCAGAUACAAAGUGAUGGUGGCAAGGCAAGUACCUUCUAUUAUACCUAAGAUUAAACGUUUUUCAAAGUAUAAUAGAUUGCUUCGGUAUGUGAAGAACUGUCUACGGAAAGCUAGAGGACAAGAAAAGAUGAUUGGUGAUCUGUCUGUUGAUGAGGUAAAUGAAAGCGGGAAGUACAUCUGUCGAAAGGUACAACAAGAAACAUUUGUGGAUGAUUUGUCGGCGCUUACCAUAAAAAGAAAAGAUUCCGAGCCGUUGACGCCGAAUCAUUUCCUGCUUGGAUGCUCCAAUUCCAUUAACACGCCUGCACCAUUUGAGCCGAGGUUGAUGUGUUUGAGGAAGCAGUAGCGUGUUCUGCAAAACAUGAAGAAUGGUUUUUGGAACCAAUAGUAGCGAGACUACUUGCCAGAGCUAACUCGUCGCACGAAGUGGUGCCUGCCUUCGCAACCAGUCACAGUUGGCUGCCUAGUUUUUGUGUGUGAUCCAGAUCUAUCAAGCAGUUAAUGGAAGAGAAGCAGAAUAAUCCAGCUGUAUGUGGGUAAUGAUGGAGUGGCCCGAUCAGCUAAAUUACGAACGAGCACCGGAAUAUAUAGAAGACCAAUAGCCAAACUAACUUGAUGUUGACACAAGAUGUGGUGAAUCCUCCCCCACUGGGUCAGUUCACGUGGGUGGGGAAGUUGCUGACGGCAACCCUGCUGAUGAUGGCAACCCUGCUACUGCCAAUUUGUGACUCAAAAACUAAAUCAAGAACGAAUGACAUGUUGAGGAAAGACCAUGGUGCAAAAUUUCCAAGCCGUUAUUGUAUUGUAUUUUUUUCAUGUAUGUGUAUACUUGUUAACAUUUUUACAUGUAAAAGAUCCAUCAGGCGCAUAUACUUUCUUUUCAUUUGUAUCACUUUGAAUAUUAGUUUCUUAUUAUAAAUGGAUACAUAAGUCGGAUUUGCUUAUUAAUUUUGUCCACAAUGUACGGAAAGUGGUUCUUGAAAUUUAUUCUAGUGUCAAGUAUGAUACCCAAGUACUUAACGUUGGUUUUCCAAUUUAUGUUCUGAUUAUUAAACAGGAUUGGCCUCUGUGGAACAAGACUUGAGCGACGCUUUCUCGUAAAAUAUUCAUCUUCAGUUUUAUCUGUAUUAGUUGGAUCUUCCACUUGAAGAAAUAUUUUUUUUCUCUAGGCUUUCAAUGAUAUUGCAGAAUAAAGUUCCAGACUGUCGUCUGUGAAAUUUGAAGCGACGCAUUCUGGUGUAAUUGGGAUGUCUGAUGUGUAGAUGUUACACAAGAUAGACGAGAGACAGGAUUCUUAAGGACAACCAGCAAUGAUCGAUUUUCUGACAGAGGCAAAUGUCGCUAUAGAGGCAUAAAAUGAUCUAUCAGAUAAGAUGCUUUGUACCAUUUUUAUGAUUUCCAUGGAGAAAUUAAUCUUGUAUAGUUUAAAUAUAAUAUUUGAUUUGAUUCUGAUUUUAUGUCUAAUAAUAACAUUCCAGUAGAUUUCCAGAUUUUAAAUAGUGGUGGGGAUGUGUUGUGUUCCUUUCUAAACCCAAAUUGUUGUGGAGGAAUUGUAUUGUUUUGAUCAGGGAACAGAAUCAUUUUUUAAUUUUCUACGCUUAUAAAAAUUUUAAAAUUUUCUACGCUUAUAAGUGGCGUGUGAUCGGAUCCGAGAACAUUUAUUGUUUUAACAUGCCUUAUGUUCAUACAAUUGGUGAUAAAUAGGUCCAAGUUCGAAGGUUUUCGGCUGGAAUAUAUGAACAAUUUUGAGAAAACAGAAUUUGAAAAUUGUUCUGUUGGUAUUUUUCAUAUAAAAUAUUUUCCCAAGAAUUAUUUUGGAACAACCCCAAUAAGUAUGCCUCGAAUUAAAAUCGCCUCCAAUAAUGAAGUUUCCAUUUGAGGUAGUUACGAUUAUAUGCUUCAGACAUCCUAAUCUGAAGCAUAUAAUUGUCUACUUGUUGAUAGACCUCUGGUUCCACCAUUAAAGUAGCAUGAGUAUUUAUUUAAGAAGCCGUUUUCCGUAGAAUAUGAGACACCAAUAUUUUCGAUAAAUGACGUAUUAAUUUUGGGUAAUAAUUGAUGAACUAUUCCCUUUUUAGCCAAAAUGGCAACUCCACCCCUCUUUGAUCAUGUCGAUCAUUUCGGUAGCAAAAGUAUGUCCUGUUUUUAAUAGAACAUUCUGUACUUAGCCAGGUUUCAUUCAGGAGGCAAAUAUCAAUACUUUGGCCCAGAAAAAAAAAUAGUUCAUUUAAUUUGUUUCGAAAGCCUCUUGCAUUCCAAGACACUAUUUUUAAUUUGAAAUUAUUCAAUAUAGACAUUGGAAAGCAGGAGAAGUGAUAACUUCGAAUUGGUCGGGUUUAGUUUUACACCUGCAGGAGCUAUUGUAUUGCAAACAGCGCUCUACUCUUUGGUUGAUAUUUUUGGCUAAUCUCGAGAAAUGAUUUUCCCACAGGACAUUGUGGUGAAGUUGAUUUAUGGCUUCCGUUACAGUUAGCACAUUUUACUGUUACAUUUACAUUCGGCAGAAUUGUGAUUUCCACCGCAAUUAGCACAAAAAGUUUUAACGCUGCAACAAUUUGAGCCGUGACCAAGCAUCUGGCAGUUGUAAUAUUGAGUAAUUUUAUUUUGCUAUUUAUUUUGCUAUCAGCAUUUAUUUUGCCAUCAGCAUUGUCCCCUGGCUCAUUUUCAUGAUUUAUAACGUCUGUUACAUUUAUGUUUUCAUAUAUUUUGUACUCCAAGUGUACGACCUUUUGUAUUCAGUAACUUUUGAAACUGCAUUACAUUCGCCAAGGACCACCUCCAGCGCUAAUAAACUAACUAAUAAAAAUAUACAAAAAUAAUUUUAAUUUUAACAUACUUUUUGCCAGUCUCUAAUCGGUGACCCGUUUACAUUUAAUUUUGUAGCAAUGGAUUUAAAAUUAGCUGGAAAAUUACCUUUAGUAAACCCUUUUGCCAAACAUGUUUUUUUCCAAUUCGAAAACCAACAUAUCAAAUUGUUUUGCUGUUGUUAUUUUCAUGAUCAAAUAUCAAAUACAAAAAAGUUACAAAAAAUACAAUGUCGUCACAAUUUUUUACGAUUUUCUUAAAAAUCGACUUAACGUCGACUUUUGUAUCGACAAUUAUAAUAGCAAUCAUUUGUCGCUAUCGAAAAAAAACGACAACCCUAUAUCCAAGGUAGAUCUAAUAGGUAGUCGCAUCACCCCAGCUGACGGCACCUUUAAAUGUCAAAACAAGUUCUUGUAAUGCUGAAUUCGCCCUAAAUGAAUGCAACACAAAAACAAAGUUUGUUUAUGUCGACUUCAUUGAAAGUAUAUUUUUCUAAUAUUUCAAAAUUUAAGAGCAACUUUUGAGUGUAUUACCAGUAAAAAAUUAAAAUUUAAAUUUGUCGAAGCCAUCCGACCGCAAUGUUAGGGAAACCAAUGAAACAUGAGAAUUGUCCAUGGCUUGGAGCUGUAUUCCAGAAUCACUGUAAUCAAAGGUUCCUUCAUUUAGCAAAUCUUUGAUGGUAUCAAAGUCGAUGUCACGAAGGCUUGCAGCAUUGUAUGGGUCCAUACAACCCCUUUACGGCCUGACUCUGUUGUAUAGCCAUUUUACUUUGCUGCUCCAACUUUUCACGAGAGCUAUGACUCGGUUGGUCUUAUCCAAACUUCCACUAGCCGCAGCUCCACCAGACUUCUGUGAUCUGUGAAAACUCUUUGUAUGGUUUGGGGAAUUUGCAUCGGCUCUGCUAUCAUGAGAGGUUUGGUAUCCACCAAGUGGCUACUAACUUGAUUGCUGGACAUUCUUAAAGGCCUUUACUGGUGGCGAUAUUGGUGCUAUGUUCUUUCUUUAAAACCAUUUCAUCAGGAACACUUGCCACUGUGUUCUGGAAUAUUAGUGGUAUUUGUCGAUGACGUAGAUGAUAUUACAAUUGUGGGCUUGUAUAAAAAUUUCGGGGAAUAACUAUCAACUUGGGGCUGUUGCAAUGAUCCCCGAGAGCCCCACGCAUUUUGAAUGAUUUUGGGCCAAUUGAAAAAAUAAUUAUUCUAAACAUGUUUUACAUUUCCACAGAUGUUCCAGAUCCGAAAUUAUUUUGAUACCGAAACAUUGGGCGUCAAAAUCGCUACAAAACCGUUGAUGUCAGACGAGGAUAGACGAGCGUUGGAUACAUUGGAAUGUGAAACGAAGCAAAUUGAUGGUCGUUAUAAAUGUGCUUUGUUGUGGAAGAAAGACGUUCCCUCACUACCCGAUUCUUAGAGUAUGGCGCUUAAUCGAUUAUACAUCGUUGAACGAAAAAUGCAACAAAACGAAGAAUAUGCAAAGGAGUAUAAAUCCAAAAUUGAAGACUACGUACAAAAAGGUUAUUGCCGGAAGCUUAUGGCAAAUGAGAUUGAUGAAGUCAACAAUAAUGUAUUUUACAUUCCACACUUUGGCGUAAGAAAUCCCAACAAAAUGGGAUUACGCCUAGUAUUUGAUGCAGCUGCCAAAUUUAAUGGAAUGUCUUUUGUCUGGUUAGGACAUAAAUAAUCCACUAAUCGCUGUUCGUUUUGAAUUUAGAGAAGAUCCAAUUGUAGUUUGCGCCGAUAUUCAGGAAAUGUUCCACCAAAUUGCUGUCAAAAAACCGACCAAAAUUGCCAAAGAUUUUUGUGGGGAGAUGGUAACGUGAACAAGCCUGUGGAUAUUUACUUUAUGGAGCGAUUGAUAUUUGGUGCCACCUGUUCCCCCACAAUAGCCCAAUUUGUGAAAAAUUUAAAUGCCAAAACCUGUAUAGGUGAAUCACCAAGAGCUGUGCAUGGGAUCAUUGACCGACACUACGUCGAUGAUUAUGUUGAUUGUUUUGAUGCAGAAGAUGAAGCAACAAAUUCUUUAAACAAUGUUGUUUAAAUUCAUAAAUUGGCCGGAGUUAAUUUACACGGGAUAAAAUCCAAUUCCCAGCAUGUUUUGAAGCAGUAUGGCAAUCCCACUGAGGAUGAUGAAACAAAAGGCAAUACCUUUAUUAAUGGCGGAGUGGAACGAGUACUCGGAAUUCGAUGGGCGCCAAAAACAUACGUUUUCUGUUUUGACUUAAAGGUAAACAAAGUGGACGGAGAAAUAUUGAAAUGUGAAGAAGUGCCAAUUUACACGGGAUAAAAUCCAAUUCCCAGCAUGUUUUGAAGCAGUAUGGCAAUCCCACUGAGGAUGAUGAAACAAAAGGCAAUACCUUUAUUAAUGGCGGAGUGGAACGAGUACUCGGAAUUCGAUGGGCGCCAAAAACAUACGUUUUCUGUUUUGACUUAAAGGUAAACAAAGUGGACGGAGAAAUAUUGAAAUGUGAAGAAGUGCCAACCAAACGUGAGAUGUUGUGUUCAAAUAUGUCCAUUUAUGACCCGUUUGGUUUCAUUUGCGAUUUUAUGGUGACCACAAAGAUAAUAUUGCAGUGUGUGUGGAAGAGUGGCAUUAAGUGGGAUAACAAGUUGCCGGCAGAAAUAUAUUGUCGGUGGAAAAUGUGGCUUGAACAACUGCCAAACAUUGUGAAAUUUAAUGUGCCAUGAUAUUAUAGCCCAAAUUUUAAUACUAAUGUGGUGAGUUGCAUAUAUUUACGGAUGCCAGUGAAGAUGCUAUGGCUGAAGUUGGAUAUUGGCGUGUAGUAAGUGACGACAUAAAAGUGGUGUUUGUUAUGGGUAAGACGAGUUGUGCCCCAACGCGGUAUCACACAAUACCAAAAUUGGAGUUGCAAGCCGCUGUUAUGGGAAUGCGGUUAAAGGAAUGUAUUGUGAAAAAUCAUUUAAAAAACAUUAAUGCUAUUUAUUUUUGGACAGAUUCCUCAACCGUAGUACGGUGGAUAAGAUCUCACCAUCGAAUAUACAAGCAGUUUAUGGCAAAUAGUGUAGAAGAAAUUCUGGAUGAUAGUAAAAAUUAAUUAGUGGAAAUGGUGUCCCGGUGCAGACAAUGCAGCGGAUGAUCGGACCCGCAUGAAGCUGUCAAGGCCGUACAAUCCUGAAGGAAGGUGGAAGAAUGGACCUGAUUUUUUAAAGAGAGGUAUGGAGUAUUGUUCCGUGGAGACCAUAAGAGGUAGUUCGACUGACCGAAGCGAAACCGAGCUGCGUUCCAGAUACCUAAUAUUAAACGUUUUUCCAAGUAUAAUAGAUUGCUUCGGUAUUUGAAGAACUGUCUACGGAAAGCUAGAGGACAAGAAAAUAUGACUGGUGAUCUGUCUGUUGAUGAGGUAAAUGAAAGCGAGAAGUACCUCUGUCGAAAGGUACAACAAGAAGCAUUUGUGGAUGAUUUGUCGGCGCUUACCAUAAACGACAGAUUGUCUGACAAGAGCUAAAGACGUUGAAUCCUGUUCUUGGCGACGACGGGAUAUUGUGGAAGAAUUGAAAUGCCACAUUCUUUUCAAUAGAGGCUAGAAGACCCAUAAUUUUGCCGAAAAAUUGUCCGUUUACAUAUUUUAUUGUGGAAUGGAACCACGUACGUAUCCGCCAUAUUAAUUUCAACACAGUCAUGUGUGAGGUACGUUACACUUUUUGGGUUCCUGCACUUCGUCAACUACUUAAAAGAAUUCAAGCGAGCUGUGUGUAUUGCAAAAUACUCCGGGCCAAACCUCGUCAGCCACAAAUGGCGCCAUUACCCAUUUUAUUGACAAUAAUGAUUCUUUUAAUUCGAAGGUGACGGCUCUUAGGAUAAAGUGGAUGUUCAAUACACCAAGCAAUUCUAGUGAAGGUGGUGUCUGGGAGAGCCUGGUCCAAUCCGUGAAGAAAGCAUUGUAUGCCAUGAUGAAGGAGCAGGCGCCUAAAUUAGAGACGUUUCGUUCCUUCCUUAUAGAGGCCGAAAAUAUGGUCAACUCCAGGCCGUUGAUCCAUCUUCCAGUUUCGCCAGAAGAAUCCGAGCCGUUGACGCCGAAUCAUUUCCUGCUUGACGGUCCAUUAACACGCCUGCACCAUUUGUGCCGAGGUUGUUGUGUUGGAGGAAGCAGUGGCGUGUUCUGCAAAACAUGAAGAAUGGUUUUUGGAACCAAUGGUUGCGAGAGUACUUGCCAGAGCUGACUCGUCGCACGAAGUGGUGCCUGCCUUCGCAACCAGUCACAGUUGGCUGCCUAGUUUUUGUGUGUGAUCCGGAUCUGCCAAGCAGUUAAUGGAAGAGAAGCAGAAUAAUCCAGCUGUAUGUGGGUAAUGAUGGAGUGGCCCGAUCAGCCAAAUUACGAACCAGCACCGGAAUAUAUCGAAGACCAACAGCCAAACUAACUUGAUGUUGACACAAGAUGUGGUGAAUCCUCCCCCACUGGGUCAGCUGACGGCAACCCUGCUGAUGAUGGCAACCCUGCUACUGCCAAUUUGUGACUCAAAAACUAACUCAAGAAAGAAUGACAUGUUGGGGAAAAACCAUGGCGCAAAAUUUCCAAGCCGUUAUUGUAUUGUAUUUUUUUCAUUUAUGUAUGUAUUUAUUAACAUUUUUACAUAUAAAAGUCCACCAGGCGCA